UUUCCAUUCGCAACGCGAAUUAUUUUAUCUCGUAUUUAUUCGGUGAGUUUUACUGUAUAAUAUGGCUUCUGUGACAAUUAAAUUUACGUUCUUUGCAAAUUGCAACAAAUAAUAAUUUUCUCGUGACGCCUAACGCCGUGUCCUACGUGAAUCCGACAAAUGCGACUAAAAACGAAACAAUUUCGUCACAUCAGUCGCAUCGUAUUGCGACGGAACAGCAUGGCCAGAAUAGAAAUCGCCGGAUUUACGUAGGACACGGUGUAAGUCCGUCGACUCGCUCCGCGACGGGAACGAUGCUGCCGUUCGGCCGGUCAUCAUUAUCUUUGCUCAUCACGAUCGACCGAGCCACACUUUCCGACCAACUUGCACCCCGUCUUCAAAGUGCGUUUUUUCAUCCGACGACCGCCCAGUGCGUUAAUUAGUAAUUUUGACUUCCGACAGUCGUCUCACCGCUCUCGCCGCAAUGACCUGGGGGGUCGUGUCCUCCCGCUCGCCAUCCGCACACAUCGCACGUACACCUACAGCUGGCUCAUCGACGUACCCGCUACGCUCGCCGACCGCGUGCGCAUAGAGCCACACCGACUCCCGUCGACCCGCUCACGAACGACAGUAACGUACGCAAUAACCUGUAUCGCCAUGUCGCGCACCUUUUCGUAUGGAACACAACAAACGGUUUUCGACGCAAUCAUUGUGUUAUUUUAUUCAUUCUGUCAUGACGUCGUGUAAACCUUCUGACGCAAGAGUCAGAUCUCAAACGUAUUUGUGUUAGUGUGGAUGUUGUACGUUCCCUAGUUCGCCGGAACCUCCAUUAUCACUGGUAGUUCAUUUUAUUGGACUUUAAUACUUUAUAGCGAACUGGAGUACUUUAGUCUGAAACCAUAGUCCGUUGCAUGUGUCUGCAACUGCAACUGAAAAUUGAAAUACCUUUACAAAACACUGUGUGUGGAUUGCUUUGAGUUUUGACGCCACCUGUGGAUCAUCAUCAUCCCAUUGUUGUUGUAUAUUAAUUGUUAACAGUCUGGUCAUAAGUUAAUGAGGAUCAUUAUAUGUUGUCUUUAGGUAUUCAUAGUUUAAAAUAUUAUCUACAAGUGAUUUUUCAAAUAGACAUCACUGUGUAUAAUAUUUUAAGCUAUAACCUCAUUACAUUCAUAUAUUCAGACAGUGAAGCACCAAUAUCAUUUAUUACAAUGAUCUUCAGAAGAAAAUGCCGGUUUAAAAUAAGGUGCUUGGAGAAUUCAAUUGUUUUAUUGCCAUUAUAAGUUGAUUUGCUGCACUUGAGGAAACUAGAUCCAUCCAAUUUGAAAUAGAAUCCAAAUCAUGUACAAUAACUGCCUGGAGUUCCUCAAACAAUACUACUGCAUCGUGACGUUGAACAAAUCGAGUGGCACAUGCUGUUUUUAGCUUAAAAGGACAAUAUAUCCUAUAUCCAUGGGGCUAUGCCAAACGGGUACCAUCUGAUCACACAGAAAUACAACGUGUAGACCAGGUUAUGGCCACAGCUAUCAAACAGGCUACAUCAAAAGUAUACUAUCAGAAAUAGUGCAACUCUCUUAUACUGAGCCGCCGGAGCACCUGAUGAUUGGGCUAAAGGAGUUGCAAAAAUUAAGUAUUCUUACCCAGUAGAUUUGAAAGAUAGAGGAAAAUAUGGAUUUUACCACCAACUGAAAUUUUAUCACUGGAAAAGAAGCAUAUGCAGCAGUAUCAGCACUAACUAAUCUAAUAAGUUCAGAAAAGUAUAAUAAUGUAUACAAUUAUUAGCUUACCUUUAACUCAGCUGUACACUUUCAUUUGUAUAGCAAAUAUAAUAUUUAAAUCAUUUUUGUAUUUUAUAUUUUACUAGUAUUUAAGUUUAUUUAAUUUUAAAAAUUAAUCAUUUUAAGUAUGAAAUUGAUGUUGACGUUUUUUUACAUAAUUACUUUUUAUGGAGAAAUAUGUUAAUGUAUUUUACAAAUUAUUUCUGUAUUGCAUUAACAAAUGGUGAAGAAUAUAAUAUGUUGACAGUUGAGUGUGUCAAUAACCAACCCCUACAACCAGUUAAUAAACCGCAUUCCAAGAAAUCAGAUGUCGACUGUACAUACUAAUAUGUGUAAUAUAUUGAUUUGGUAUAUCAUCUGUUUAUAAACUGAUGUUUAAUAUUGUAAUAUAUUCAUAUAUUAUAUUAUGUAGGUCGUUAUUAGUCAAAGUGAAGCGUAAUUUGUAUUAUUUUGAGGUGAAUGUUAACUACUGUCUACUGAAUGUGUAAAUCCUUCUAUUUUAAAACCCAUUACCUAUUAUUAGUGUAUUGAAAAUUUGAACAUGUCUAUUAAUAAAAUACAUAUUAUGC